AAAAAAGAUAAAAGAUAAUUUUAUCUUUUUUAAAUUUGAAAACUUGUCAUUGGAUAAAGAAAUCCAAUUUUCCACUUGCAAGAAAUCAAAAGAAGAAGAUGGGAGAGGAAAGUGAUUUCGGCGUAUACGAACAGCUUAGGGAAAUGGUUGAUCUUCUGGCGCAUGUAUGACAAUGCUGCUCUCCACAUUGCCAAUAUCCCAAUUGUUGGAAGGUGAAUUGGCUUUUCCGGCAUGGGACUGAAUGCAAGACAGGUCAUUUUGGAGUUUGUGUUCUGUGCAAGAAAAUGUGGUAUCUCUUGCAACUUCAUGCUCCAUCAUGCAAAGAAACUGAAUGCCACAUACCACGUUGCAGAGAUCUAAAAGAACAUUCAAGAAGGCUGCAGCAGGACACUGAUGCGCGGCAUAGGGCUGCUGUGGAGGAGAUUCUGAGAAAGAGAGCUGCAGAUAUUGCUGGUAACUCUGGGUAACCAUUUUGUACAUAUUAAUAUGGUUGUUUUGAAGGUAAGGCUUCCAGAUAGAGAGCAGGAGGUAGACAAUAUGUUUUUCUGCUGCUCCAUUAGGGACUGCUUGAAAUUAUAAGCAGUGUAGGAAAAGUGGCAGGCAUAGGUGUUCAGAAGGGGUAGGCAUGGCCAUCAUUCUAGAUAUUCUAUUUUGUGAUUUUUGGAAUUGGACGUCAAAGACAUGAUCUUGGUACCCAGCA